UGUCUCUCAAACAGCUAUACCCUGUGGGCCUUUUGAAAGAAAUGCAGACAGAGUGAAGCAACUGACGACUGACUGUUCAGAAGGUGAUGGAGCUGGAUACUGAUGAAAACCAUCACACGUUCCUCUUUUUUAGGAUGAGGUAGGGUUCAACCUGGCCAAGACAAGGAUGAGAGGUCUGAAUUUCAUUGGCCAGCGGGCAACCAUCCAAGUACCUGGACAACGUGGGGCCAACGUCGCCAUGUGUGCAGCUAUAUCGGAAGAUGCUGUGGUUGGACGCAGCCCUCGUAUUGGAUCAUAUAAUGCAUCUCUCCUUGUAACCUUCCUUGAUGAGCUAAAUCAGGUGGAGAAGGUAUACGAUAGGCGCCCUCACGAACAAGCCUGGCUUUGCCACGCCCGAAGAUUCUUCCCAAGAUGUUUGGCUAAUGAAAACAUCCAUUGUGAUGUGGAUGAGAACCUGUGGCCAAAUCCACAAGACAGGGUUUUUUAUUUAUUUAUUUUAUUUUACCUUUAUUU